rnacentral:rRNA from 1 species
CCUACGGGUGGCAGCAGUGGGGGAUAUUGCACAAUGGGGGAAACCCUGAUGCAGCGACGCCGCGUGUGGGAAGACGGUCCUCUGGAUUGUAAACCACUGUCCCCAGGGACGAAGAUGACGGUACCUGGGGAGGAAGCUCCGGCUAACUACGUGCCAGCAGCCGCGGUAAUACGUAGGGAGCGGGCGUUGUCCGGAAUUACUGGGUGUAAAGGGAGGGUUGGCGGGGAGGCAGGCUGGGGGGAAAAACUACCGGCUAAACUGGUAGUCGCACUCAAAACUGCAGCUCUUGAGUGAAGUAGAGGCAGGCGGAAUUCCUGGUGUAGCGGUGAAAUGCGUAGAUAUUAGGAGGAACACCAGUGGCGAAGGCGGCCUGCUGGGCUUUUACUGACGCUGAGGCUCGAAAGUGUGGGGAGCAAACAGGAUUAGAUACCCCAGUAGUC